GUUCCAUGACCCCAGCCUCAGGGACAAGGUUACACGGGUAGUCUUGCUGUGGGUGAACAAUCACUUCAACGACUUUGAGGGUGACUCCGCAAUGACGCAUUUUCUCGAGGAGUUCGAAUACAAUCUGGAGAGAGAGAAAAUGUGUGGGCAC